AUGGGGGGUAGCCCAGCAGGAGGGCACUUGGUUGGGAAGGGCGGCUCUGCCCUGGGCCUGCCUGCCUGCAAGCGUGGCCUGGCACCAGUGGCACGGAGAAGGGAGGCCCCAUCUGACCCCAUGGCUUGGAUGAAGUGAAGGCUGGCAAAUGGAAACAUGGCGCCAUCCAGAUCCGUUUUCCCACCUCUAACAGGAGGGCCUUGUUCGGCAUCAUCUCUCAGCGCUUAUCCAAAGUCCUCAAGGCAUAAACAUGUAGCUGCA